GACGAACGCUGGCGGCGUGCUUAACACAUGCAAGUCGAACGGUGACCCUCGGAGCUUGCUUCGGGGUGAGCAGUGGCGAACGGGUGAGUAACACGUGAGUAACCUGCCCCUGACUCUGGAAUAAGCGCUGGAAACGGCGUCUAAUACCGGAUACGACACGCCUCCGCAUGGGGAGCGUGUGGAAAGUUUUUCGGUCUGGGAUGGACUCGCGGCCUAUCAGCUUGUUGGUGAGGUAAUGGCUCACCAAGGCGAUGACGGGUAGCCGGCCUGAGAGGGCGACCGGCCACACUGGGACUGAGACACUGCCCAGACUCCUACGGGAGGCAGCAGUGGGGAAUAUUGCACAAUGGGCGAAAGCCUGAUGCAGCGACGCCGCGUGAGGGAUGACGGCCUUCGGGUUGUAAACCUCUUUCAGCAGGGAAGAGGCGAAAGUGACGGUACCUGCAGAAGAAGCACCGGCUAACUACGUGCCAGCAGCCGCGGUAAUAC
rnacentral:rRNA from 1 species